AUUGAACGCUGGCGGCAUGCUUUACACAUGCAAGUCGGACGAGUGGCGAACGGGUGAGUAACGCAUCGGAACGUACCGAGUAGUGGGGGAUAACUACUGGAAACGGUAGCUAAUACCGCAUACCAUCCGAUGGGCCCAGAGGGGAUUAGCUAGUAGGGGGGGUAACGGCUCACCUAGGCGACGAUCCCUAGCUGGUCUGAGAGGAUGACCAGCCACACUGGAACUGAGACACGGUCCAGACUCCUACGGGAGGCAGCAGUGGGGAAUAUUGGGCAAUGGUCGCAAGCCUGAUCCAGCCAUGCCGCGUGUGUGAAGAAGGCCUUCGGGUUGUAAAGCACUUUCGGCGGAGAAGCGUUACCCAAAGAAGAAGCACCGGCUAACUCCGUGCCAGCAGCCGCGGUAAUUC
rnacentral:rRNA from 1 species